rnacentral:lncRNA from 1 species
CCGGACCGUUGGAGAACGCUAACAUUUUUACAGAUCAAGGCAAGUCCCGGUGCAUUUAAGCCUAUCUACUUUUGGAGUUAUUAUUUCAUGUGUCCAAAUAUUGGUUAUUUUUUUAUGAAUGCAUUAAGUCUAGGAGUUGAUUGAAAACUUACUUUUAUGCAUAAUCAAACCUUGUUACUAAGGACAUCUUUGCCACUUGUUCAAUAAUUAGUAAGUAUCCCAUGCUUAGCAAAGCAUAGUCGCA